UGCAUUAUAAUAUUUUAAAUUUUUUGGGUUUUUUAUUCCUGAUGUACUAGGUUUUUCAUCCAUGUCUACGUCUCCUGUAUUUAUUUCUAAAUUCUUUGUAUUAUCUAUGUUUGCUAAAAGUUCCGUAUAUGUUUCGCUUGUUUCUGAAUGUUGUUCAUCUAGAUCAUCGUCGUUUAUUUCAUCAAUUCUUAUUUCAGGUAGAUUAUCUUGGUUAUUUUCUUCUUUUUCUUCUAGUUCUUCUUCUAAUUGCAAUUUUUCUUUAAAUUUAUUUAUCUCAUUUGCUAAUUUUGUUUUUUGUUCUUUUUCUUUUUGUUUAAUUUCAUACAUUUCUUUUAAUAUUGCCAGUUUUUUUUCUAGUUCUAUUAUUUUAG
rnacentral:lncRNA from 1 species